rnacentral:rRNA from 1 species
CCUACGGGAGGCAGCAGUGGGGAAUAUUGCACAAUGGGGGAAACCCUGAUGCAGCGACGCCGCGUGAGUGAAGAAGUAUUUCGGUAUGUAAAGCUCUAUCAGCAGGGAAGAAAAUGACGGUACCUGACUAAGAAGCCCCGGCUAACUACGUGCCAGCAGCCGCGGUAAUACGUAGGGGGCAAGCGUUAUCCGGAUUUACUGGGUGUAAAGGGAGCGUAGACGGCAGCGCAAGUCUGGAGUGAAAUCCAAUGGAUUAACCAUGGAACUGCUUUGGAAACUGUGCAGCUGGAGUGCAGGAGAGGUAAGCGGAAUUCCUAGUGUAGCGGUGAAAUGCGUAGAUAUUAGGAGGAACACCAGUGGCGAAGGCGGCUUACUGGACUGUAACUGACGUUGAGGCUCGAAAGCGUGGGGAGCAAACAGGAUUAGAUACCCGAGUAGUC